rnacentral:lncRNA from 1 species
ACCAACACGAGGAGGUUCAAGGAGUGCUGCUUGCUUCUGUUUCGGCCUGAGGCAUGUUUGAUGAACAGGUGGAGCUGCCAUCACAAUGAAAACCAUGGUGCUGUUGUGGACGUGGUGGUGACAGGUUGGAAUCUCAGUAACGCUGAAGGAAAGAGAAGACCGCCAGGAGAGGUGACUUUCUUUAUACACCCCCACAAGACCCAGUAUGGAUUCGUGGAGGAGCAGCCAAGAAGCUCGCAGGUAUCAAUUCUUAUUUCUGAUGGCACGGCUGCCAUUGCCAACUUGUUCUUGAGAGUGAACACAGACCCAGCUUUUGAUCAGGGUGCUGGGAGUAGUGGCUGAGUUUUGUAUGGCACUGUGGUGGACUGUUGGCAGCCGCGCAAUAGUCAUGGUGUUGGGAUGUUUAUAAGGACCUUGAAGUAUGCUGAAUGUUUGGUUCUUUCAUAUGCCGAUGAGUUGUAAUAUUAGUAUUAAUAUCGCCCACUGUCGGGCUAAGCAUAACGUCAUUGUAGGGCAGGAUGCUGUCAUGUGGAGAGACUAAAUCCCAGACUUUGUUUUGUGUAGCUAUUUAGUUUUUGAGCAAGCUUGAUAAAGGAGCAAUUCCUAUCACUGAUAGGCUAUCACUCACAUAUUUUAUAUCUUAUUGUUUGUGUGACGGCAGAAUGAUUUCCGGACGUCGAAUUUUUGUAAAUAGCAUUAUCGAACUAACAAUGUCCUGUUGUUCGUGGUUUGCAGAGGUUGGCUACCAGUGCACUUG